rnacentral:rRNA from 1 species
GACAGAGGGUGCAAACGUUGUUCGGAAUUACUGGGCGUAAAGCGUGUGUAGGCGGUCCACUAAGUCGGGUGUGAAAGCCCUGGGCUCAACCUAGGAAGUGCACUCGAAACUGCGAAGCUUGAGUCCUGGAGAGGAAGGCGGAAUUCUCGGUGUAGAGGUGAAAUUCGUAGAUAUCGAGAGGAACACCGGUGGCGAAGGCGGCCUUCUGGACAGUGACUGACGCUGAGACGCGAAAGCGUGGGGAGCAAACAGG